UGCAAAUAUGCCUGGGAGUUAGAAAAAUUAUGAGGAUUUUACUGCAAUUAUUCUAGCCAAAGUUUUAAAAUAUUCCCAUGAAGCUAUCAACUUUCUGCUGUUUUAAUCCAAACUACAAAAACAGACAACUUAAAUUUGCUCAGACUUCAAUUCAAGUGGACACACUGGCUUGAAGUAAGAAUAUCAACAAGAAGCUCACCCAUUUGAAUUACUUCAGUAAUGUGAAGGUGGAAUUCACAG